rnacentral:misc_RNA from 1 species
AUAGGUGAACCUGCGGAAGAUUAUUAACACGUAUCCAAACGUUAAAACCCCCCUGUGAACCUUGAACACCAAUGCAUCCUGCACACGUUCACGGGUCAACCCCUUGUAAAUCAUUGUCUGAAGCAGAUUUUGAGUUAGAGGCCGGUUUAGCAUCGUGACUCCAUUGUUUUGAAAGUUUUCAUUCGGUUUGCGUAAGAGUUGGCGCAGGAAACGAUCGCUGGGCCCACACGGCCCAGCGUCAGGGGCCUCUCCGCGGUUACAAUCUGCGGCAAGGGAUACGCACGGAGCUUAUCUCAAUGACGAGAGAGACGCCUGGCGCCGAAAGGUUGUAGGCAUUUAAAAAACGAACAACUGUUAACAAUGGAUAUAUUGGUUCUC